GACUGUCUGCGGCAGCAUCCACUUGGCACUGGGCUCGACGAGAACAGCGAGCAUUCAAAUGCCACUUUCACCCACCUACGUUGAGGCUCUCAGAGUGACCGAUGAAAACAGCGCUGGCGCAGCACAGCUCAUUGAUCAGACGAUGAACAUCAGACAGCACAUCCGUUCUUGUGAACUCCUCUCUCGAGUUCGAAGUAUCGGCAUUGUGGAUGGUUCAGCAGGACAGCAGGUUCAGGACAGCCCAAUAGAUGCUGCCCAGGCAAGCGGCAGUGACCCUCCUUCUAGAGCGAAUAGAGAAAGGCCACAGUCUGAAUGGUCUUGCCGAGGCCCAUCUCAUCGGCUAGAAUGGUGUAGAUAGCCUGUCGAAGCUCUUCAGUGUGAGCGAUGAAAACAGCGCUGGCGCAGC